rnacentral:rRNA from 1 species
CCUACGGGGGGCAGCAGUGGGGAAUAUUGCACAAUGGGGGAAACCCUGAUGCAGCAACGCCGCGUGAGUGAAGAAGUCAUUCGUGAUGUAAAGCUCUAUCAGCAGGGAAGAAAAUGACGGUACCUGAGUAAGAAGCCCCGGUUAACUACGUGCCAGCAGCCGCGGUAAUACGUAGGGGGCAAGCGUUAUCCGGAUUUACUGGGUGUAAAGGGAGCGUAGACGGUAUGGCAAGUCUGAUGUGAAAACCCGGGGCUCAACCCCGGGACUGCAUUGGAAACUGUCGGACUAGAGUGUCGGAGAGGCAA